rnacentral:rRNA from 1 species
AUUGAACGCUGGCGGCAGGCCUAACACAUGCAAGUCGAGCGGCAGCGGGAAAGUAGCUUGCUACUUUUGCCGGCGAGCGGCGGACGGGUGAGUAAUGCCUGGGAAAUUGCCCAGUCGAGGGGGAUAACAGUUGGAAACGACUGCUAAUACCGCAUACGCCCUACGGGGGAAAGCAGGGGACCUUCGGGCCUUGCGCGAUUGGAUAUGCCCAGGUGGGAUUAGCUAGUUGGUGAGGUAAUGGCUCACCAAGGCGACGAUCCCUAGCUGGUCUGAGAGGAUGAUCAGCCACACUGGAACUGAGACACGGUCCAGACUCCUACGGGAGGCAGCAGUGGGGAAUAUUGCACAAUGGGGGAAACCCUGAUGCAGCCAUGCCGCGUGUGUGAAGAAGGCCUUCGGGUUGUAAAGCACUUUCAGCGAGGAGGAAAGGUUGAUGCCUAAUACGUAUCAACUGUGACGUUACUCGCAGAAGAAGCACCGGCUAACUCCGAGCCAGCAGCCGCAGUAA